rnacentral:misc_RNA from 1 species
UAUAAGCGUUAGCGAUAGAGCGGCAUGUUUGAGCUCUUUUUUUGUUGUUUUCACUACUAAAAAAAGCGAGUAGUGAUAGCGCGACCUGAA